rnacentral:rRNA from 1 species
GACGAACGCUGGCGGCGUGCUUAACACAUGCAAGUCGAACGCUGAAGCUCAGCUUUUGUUGGGUGGAUGAGUGGCGAACGGGUGAGUAACACGUGAGUAACCUGCCCCCCUCUUUGGGAUAACGCCCGGAAACGGGUGCUAAUACUGGAUAUUCACUGGUCUUCGCAUGGGGUUGGUGGAAAGGGGUUUUCUGGGGGGGGAUGGGCUCGCGGCCUAUCAGCUUGUUGGGGGGGUGAUGGCCUACCAAGGCUUUGACGGGUAGCCGGCCUGAGAGGGUGACCGGUCACAUUGGGACUGAGAUACGGCCCAGACUCCUACGGGAGGCAGCAGUGGGGAAUAUUGCACAAUGGGCGCAAGCCUGAUGCAGCGACGCCGCGUGAGGGAUGGAGGCCUUCGGGUUGUGAACCUCUUUCGCUCAUGGUCAAGCCGCAACAAUGGUUGUGGUGAGGGUAGUGGGUAAAGAAGCGCCGGCUAACUACGUG